ACCAGCACCAAAACAUGCCGGUACUUGCAUAUGGUGGGCUUUAUGGGGUAGUACAGUGAGUGUGAAGUGAUCUCAUAUUGUGACCUUCAUAUGAGCACACAUUGAGUGUGCAGCGUGCUUACACAUUAAGAUCAUGACCCACACAGUGAGUAUCUUGUGAGCUCAUGGUGACUUCCCUUACGAAAAUUAACCAUGGUUUUACUACAGUCAACUUAAAACCAAAAAAGCAUGGUUACUGUAGUAAAACCAUGGUAACCACAAAAUAACCAUGGUUUUGACAACCAUGUUUUUCUAAAACCACAGAACCAUGGUUAGUGUAGCCGUUUAGUGUAGUAAAACCAUGGUCAAAGACCCGAGGUGAGGUAUACAUUAAAGGGUUAACCUGAAGUAGUAAAACCAAAAGAAAGUCAGCAUCUCUUUAGUGUCCUCACUAAUAUAAGAAAUUACUAGUUUGUCUUCCACCCAGUGCAAGCUUUUUACAUGAACCCCCAAACCCCACCCAGAAAAACACAGCACAACUUAUUAAAGUUUAUUUAAUUUAUUUUAAUGUUUGAUUGUUCUGUGAAAUACAGUGGUAAUUAAGUGCUAAAAAUCUACAAGAAUUGAAUUUGUUUCACGUUUUUUUUUUUUUUUUUGCGCCACUGGGUCAAUACAACGUAGUACGCAUGUGUCUGCAGGAAGAGCCGCUUGUGCGAGUGCUCCAUACUCCAAUCCAGUAGGUGGCGGUAAAUGCACCUUAAGUUGGUUUGCCACCCACCAUUUAAACAACAAAAGAAGAAGAAGAAGCCGCUUGUGCGCAUGUGUCUGCAUCCAAAGGUUACCACGACAAGUUUGCGACUGAGUAAAUACAGAUACUACAGUACGUGAUCUGGAGCUUGACUUCACAUGUUUUUGUGGUGAUUAAAGGCGGAGUCCAUGAUGUUUGAAAGCCAAUGUUGAUAUUUGAAAUCACCUAAACAAACACGCCCCUACCCCAAUAGAAUCUGGACCUUCUGUUGAUAGACCCGCCACACACAUAUGCAACCCGGCAAGGAUGUCGGUUAGUAGACACGCUCCUUACUGCUGAUUGGCUAUGGGGCGGUUUCCCGGACCAGGAUUAGCUUAAUCCAGGACUAGGCCUUAGUUUAAUUAGUAAAUAUAACUAGUUUUAACAAACAUGCCUUACUAAAAACAUUAUCUGUGUGCAUUUUGAGGUAAAAUAAAGGGCACUGAUGUAUUUUAAGAUAUGUCAGUGCAAGUUGUUUUCAGUUUGGAGAGCUCUUAAAAGUGUUUAAGUCUAGGACUAGUCUAAUCCCUGUCCAGGAAACUGCCCCUAUAAGUGUGUUUUGGUAGUCGGCCCGUCUCCUUUUCCAAAGCGUUUUUCAAACAUCGUGGACUCCGCCUUUAACAAAUUGUGCGGUGCUUUUGGCAUUGUCUAUCCAUGUAUAAUUGUGAUGUUCCAGGAGUGCUAAUGGAAGCUACACGGUAUGUAGAUGUUUGUUCCAGUAUGUUUAUGUGUGUGUACCUGGUAAUUAUCACGUUGUGGGGACCGAAUGUCCCCACAAAGAUAGGAAUACCAGUAAAUUUUGACCUCGUGGGGACAUUUGUGAGGUCCCCAUGAGGAACCAAGCUUAUAAAUCAAACGGAAUGAUGUUUCUUGAAAAUCUAAGGUCGCAGAAAGUUUUCUGUGAUGGUUGGGGUAAGGGUUUGGGGAAGGGAAUAGAAUAUACAGUUUGUACAGUAUAAAAUGCAUUACGUUUAUGGAAUGUCCCCACAAAACAUGGAAACCAGAAUGUGUGUGUGUGUGUGCGUGCCAUGGAACAAAUAUUUAUUUUAUACCUUUUUGUGUGUUCUGUUUUUGACUUUUUUCCCCUGAUAUCAAGACACCAAAAUAAUGUUUUAAUACGCAUUUUCAUGUGUUUGUAAAGAAAAUAAAUGGUGUACUUCACUGUUA